GUCGAGCGGCAGCGCGGGGCAACCUGGCGGCGAGCGGCGAACGGGUGAGUAAUGCAUCGGAACAUGUCCAUGUCGUGGGGGAUAGCCCGGCGAAAGCCGGAUUAAUACCGCAUACGCCCGAGAGGGGAAAGUGGGGGACCGCAAGGCCUCACGCGAUUGGGUUGGCCGAUGUCCGAUUAGCUAGUUGGCGGGGUAAAGGCCCACCAAGGCGAUGAUCGGUAGCUGGUCUGAGAGGAUGAUCAGCCACACUGGGACUGAGACACGGCCCAGACUCCUACGGGAGGCAGCAGUGGGGAAUUUUGGACAAUGGGGGCAACCCUGAUCCAGCCAUUCCGCGUGAGUGAAGAAGGCCUUCGGGUUGUAAAGCUCUUUUGUCCGGAACGAAACGGGCGACGUGAAUAGCGUUGUCUACUGACGGUACCGGAAGAAUAAGCACCGGCUAACUACGUGCCAGCAGCCGCGGUAAUACGUAGGGUGCGAGCGUUAAUCGGAAUUACUGGGCGUAAAGCGUGCGCAGGCGGUUUUGUAAGCCAGAUGUGAAAUCCCCGGGCUUAACCUGGGAAUGGCAUUUGGGACUGCAAGGCUCGAGUGCGGCAGAGGAGACUGGAAUUCCUGGUGUAGCAGUGAAAUGCGUAGAUAUCAGGAGGAACACCGAUGGCGAAGGCAGGUCUCUGGGCUGACACUGACGCUCAUGCACGAAAGCGUGGGGAGCAAACAGGAUUAGAUACCCUGGUAGUCCACGCCCUAAACGAUGUCGACUGGUUGUUGGGGGUUUGACACUCUCAGUAACGAAGCUAACGCGUGAAGUCGACCGCCUGGGGAGUACGGCCGCAAGGUUAAAACUCAAAGGAAUUGACGGGGAACCCGCACAAGCGGUGGAUUAUGUGGAUUAAUUCGAUG
rnacentral:rRNA from 1 species